UGCCAGCAGCCGCGGUAAUACGUAGGAUCCAAGCGUUGUCCGGAAUUACUGGGUGUAAAGGGUGCGCAGGCGGGCCUGUGCGUCAGGGGUUAAAUAUACCGGCUCAACCGGUAAAGUGCCCUUGAUACGGCAGGUCUUGAGUACGAGAGAGGAUGGUAGAAUUCCUGGUGUAGCGGUGAAAUGCGUAGAUAUCAGGAGGAAUACCAGUGGCGAAGGCGGCCAUCUGGCUCGGUACUGACGCUCAGGCACGAAAGCGUGGGGAGCGAACAGGAUUAGAUA
rnacentral:rRNA from 1 species